rnacentral:rRNA from 1 species
GACGAACGCUGGCGGCGUGCUUAACACAUGCAAGUCGAACGGAAAGGCCCUGCCUUUGUGGGGUGCUCGAGUGGCGAACGGGUGAGUAACACGUGAGUAACCUGCCCUUGACUUUGGGAUAACUUCAGGAAACUGGGGCUAAUACCGGAUAGGAGCUCCUGCUGCAUGGUGGGGGUUGGAAAGUUUCGGCGGUUGGGGAUGGACUCGCGGCUUAUCAGCUUGUUGGUGGGGUAGUGGCUUACCAAGGCUUUGACGGGUAGCCGGCCUGAGAGGGUGACCGGCCACAUUGGGACUGAGAUACGGCCCAGACUCCUACGGGAGGCAGCAGUGGGGAAUAUUGCACAAUGGGCGGAAGCCUGAUGCAGCAACGCCGCGUGCGGGAUGACGGCCUUCGGGUUGUAAACCGCUUUCGCCUGUGACGAAGCGUCAGUGACGGUAAUGGGUAAAGAAGCACCGGCUAACUACGUG